UACAGAGGGUGCAAGCGUUAAUCGGAGUUACUGGGCGUAAAGGGCGCGUAGGCGGCUCUUUAAGUUGGAUGUGACAUUCCUGGGCUUAACCUAGGAACUGCAUACAAGACUGGAUAGCUGGAGUACUGUAGAGGGUAGUGGAAUUUCCGGUGUAGCGGUGAAAUGCGUAGAGAUCGGAAGGAACACCAGUGGCGAAGGCGGCUACCUGGACAGAUACUGACGCUGAGGCGCGAAAGCGUGGGGAGCAAACGGG
rnacentral:rRNA from 1 species